GGGCCACGGAAGGUCGAGCGGGCCGGCAGGCGGCAGCCGGGUCCCCAGUCUGGGCUGAAGCUAAGGAGAUCACGGAUAGGCCGUGAGGAGGUACUGGACCGGCUCUCUCAACCUCCGUGACCCGCGGCCGGUGAGGAAGUCGGACUCUGGGUAGGGGUCGCCUCGCCUGGUCGUGCCCGCCUGGGCUCGGCCACCGUGUCCUUUCCGCCCCGGCACAGGUUGUCUUUGUCCUGCGCUAUCAUGGAUAAUUAAAGGUUUCCUAUGGCUAUAACUUAUCAGCAAGCCGUUUUCUUGCUUUCCUACUAAGACUGGACUAUGACAAUAACAUAUUCCAAGACGGCUUGUCUGGACAAGUAACUAAAAUUUUGUGUGUAUUGCUUUCAAAUAUGAAACUGACAGAAUUUCAUUUAAGUAAGUGCCUUGUCUCUGAAUAUUGUUUUUCUUCCAUAGCUUUCAAACGAGAUCAGGCCAGACCAGAAAAUAAGCUAGUCACUUGCCAUUACUGACCCUUUUCAGGUAUUUCAGCAUAUCAAUAUAAUUUCUUCCUCUCUAUAGGAUCAUUUAAAUAGAAUCUAGUUUGAAAGGUAGCUGCCAUGGGGCGCCUGGGUAGCGCAGUCGUUAAGCGUCUGCCUUCGGCUCAGCGCGUGAUCCCGGUGUUCUGGGAUCGAGUCCCACAUCGGGCUCCUCCGCUGAGAGCCUGCGUCUUCCUCUCCCACUCCCCCUGCUGUGUUCUCUCUCUCGCUGGCUGUCUCUCUGUCACAUAAAUAAAUAAAAUCUUAAAAAAAAAAAAAAAGAAAGGUAGCUGCCUUAAAAUUAAAGCGUUAUUACAAUUUAGGGUUUUCAGCGGAUGCUUGGGUAGAACUCCUCAGUCCUUCCUUAUUGACCUUGAUUUGUAAGGGUAGUUUUUUGUUGUUAAUACUUACUGUUCUCCAUUUGCUCUUUAAAAGUGAUUGAUAAGGGAUUGUCUCUCUGGAUUUUGCACCAACAUGCUGGUGAAAGUUAUGCUGUGUACAUUAACACAGGAAAUGAAAGCAAAAAUUACCCUCAUUAAAUACUGUUGGAUUUGACUGAAGUUCACAAAAGGAGGCUUUCUUGUAAAUCUCAUUUUGAUCCUCACUCGGCAUACCUUGGAAAUUUGACAGCAUUGUGUGUACUACUGAGAGUUAUUUUUUUCUUUUAAGAAAUUAGGAAUUAUAUGUUAACAGUGUUGAUCGAAGGCCCUGAAGACAAAAUUUGAGCCUUUGGAUCCUCAAGACUGAUAGAGUUAAGGUGAAACUGCUGGUAGUGAGGGUGUUAACCUACUCUAAGAUGAAAGAAUCAUGGCAAGAUACUAUGUAAUGAAAUUGAAGGAAGUUCAGAAGGACACUUUGCUUGUGUCUUUUUCCAAGUGACCUUUCUGGGGCAGGCUAUGUAGCUCUGUGUAAAUUAAGUGUACUUGUAUAUAUGGAAAGGGAUGAAAGUCAAGUUAAACGUAAAUUGAAAGACAUAUAAAUGAUGAUAAUAAAAUAGCCCCUCCCUGGCAGUGCUGUUUUCCCUCUAUCGUGUUAGUAGUUAUAAAUUUUUUUUCCUAAUGGAAAAUGAGAUAAUAGGUGGAGAAUAAUGUCUUUAGUGUAUUCUGAUGUGAUUGUGGAGCAAUGACAGGUGUAAAAAAGCCAGCUUAUGUAUAGAGUUGUAUAACUAUUCUGAAACAUUUUUACAGCUUGUUUCUACCUUUGGCAGGAUGUUUUUCUACCCAGGCCUUGAAGUUUUGGGUCUAGGAAGUAGCUUUUACUUCUUAUAAAUGGGAAUUUAUUUGAAAUCGGAUUUAUUAUUUUAAAAUGUUUUGUUAUCUUACUCGGUUACUGCAUUUGAAAGGACUAAGUCAUUCAUUCAUUCGUGACUAUGGCAUCUUUUGGAUAGGUAAAACAAAUAUGAAGAAUGAAAGUGCUGUAUUUUGUGAAUUUUCCAAAUUCUUUGGAUAAGGUUAUUGGAUCAAUUCUUUUAACACAUAGAAUUUAAAUUCAUAUGCAAAAUUCCUACUUUAUUUUUUGAACUUAAAUUUAUGCUCAGUCAGUUUAAUUUGGACAGUUGUGAUAAUCUAGUAAGCCUUAAUCUUGUUUUAAUAUUUGUUGGGGGAGGACAUACUAAUCAUUAGAGACAUCAUUUAGUGUUACCUUCCAAAAUUUGCAGCUGUUUAGAACCAGAUACUUGAGGGACACUACUAUGGUAUAAUGAAUGCCUUCCUUGUUAAGUCAUGUGCAACAAAGGCAAAAUUCAGCGAGUGCAUAAUCUACAGUCCUUGGGAAGCAACAACAAGAAAGAGCAGAUGAACUCCAAAUGCGUUUAGGUUAUGUGGAAAUUGAAUUCCUGUCAUUCUUUAUCUUUGUAUAAUUUAACUUCUUUUUUGUUGACGUUUAUGUAUUCUGAAGCUGAUGUACUAUAUUAUGUAGGACAUUACGAAUGGUUAAAAUGUAGGUGUUUCUUAACAUUAGCUGAGAGAGUUUACCAACCUACCAUUGCCAACUCCAUCUUCUGGUUAGCUCUGCACAGAGGAGACUCCAGAUCUUCUCCUUUUAAGUAUUCAACUUUGGAAUUUUAGCACAUACAUUUCCUACUGUCAGAACAAUGUAGGUAUAAAUAUGAAACUAAUAAGCAUUAAUAUGUGUGAUUAAAUAUUAUUAUAAGGCAUGGGUUUCAUUCAUACAACAAACAUUUUUUGAGUACCUCUGUACCAAGUGUUCAGCCAGGGACCGUGACAUGAAGAUGAAUUGUCCUUGCUGCAAGGAUCCUUGACCUUUGUUUUCAUAUUCCCUUACCAUGGAGGGCCAUGGGUUUGAGGAGCCAGAAUUGGACCAAGAGGAUGAACCAUUUAUGUGAUGCCAGAUUGGCCAGAGGUCUCAUCUUAAGGUCAGUUUAAGGAGGUAUUUAGAAACUCAGGUGAAAAGAAUGGGGAAUGGAUUAUUAUACAGGCAAAGAGUCUAGACUCCACAAAUAUUGAUUAUUCUAAAAUGAAUGGAGCUUAGUGAGUGAGCACUUUCUUUGAGUCAAGAACAAGAGCACAAGGUCAGAAAUAGUCUGUGUAGGCAGUGUAAAAUUAGAGCUAGAGCGAAGAGGUAGAAUCCAGACAUCCCACUCUGAGGCAUGUAUGUACAUUCUUUCUUCUCUAAGGCUGUUACUUUUAUUUUUUAAUUGUUUUCAUUCCUUUUCUUGACAAACCUGCAAAAUACGUGAGCCUCUCACAGCCUUCAUUUCCACUUUAUUUUUUAAAAUAUCUUAUUUAUUAGAGCAAGCGAGAGAGCACAAGCAGGGGGAGUGGUAGGGGGAAAGGGAGAAGCAGGCUCCCCACUGAGCAGGGAGCCCCACGCAGGGCUUUAUCCCAGGACCCUGGGAUCAUGACCUGAGCCGAAGGCAGACACUUAAUGACUGAACCACCUAGGCAUCCCUUCCCUGACAUUUUAUUAUGAAAAAUUUUAACACAGAAAAGAAUUGUUGCAAGAACUGUUUGUUGAACAAUUGAAUACAUAAGUACCGACAAACCUAGAUUCUAUAAUUUAUAAUUUGGACUUUGCCAUAUGUACUUACCUGUCCAUCCAUCCUACCCUCCUCUCUCUCCCUGUAUCCUUUCAUCAAUCCGUCUUCUAUUUAGUUGUAUUUUUACCCCCAAAUACUUCAGUGUGCCCAUCAUGAACUAUUUGUUUACUUGUUUUUUGUUUUGUUUUUUUAAGGGAGAGAGAGUGCAGAAGCUGGGGAGGGGGUUGCAGGCAGAGGAAGAGAGUGAGAAUCUUAAGUCCCACACAGGGCUUGAUCUCUG